CGGCCUUGCGGGCGGCCUAAACAUGCAAGUCGAGCGGAACGAGUUAUCUGAACCUUCGGGGAACGAUAACGGCGUCGAGCGGCGGACGGGUGAGUAAUGCCUAGGAAAUUGCCCUGAUGUGGGGGAUAACCAUUGGAAACGAUGGCUAAUACCGCAUAAUGCCUACGGGCCAAAGAGGGGGACCUUCGGGCCUCUCGCGUCAGGAUAUGCCUAGGUGGGAUUAGCUAGUUGGUGAGGUAAUGGCUCACCAAGGCGACGAUCCCUAGCUGGUCUGAGAGGAUGAUCAGCCACACUGGAACUGAGACACGGUCCAGACUCCUACGGGAGGCAGCAGUGGGGAAUAUUGCACAAUGGGCGCAAGCCUGAUGCAGCCAUGCCGCGUGUGUGAAGAAGGCCUUCGGGUUGUAAAGCACUUUCAGUCGUGAGGAAGGUGGUGUAGUUAAUAGCUGCAUUAUUUGACGUUAGCGACAGAAGAAGCACCGGCUAACUCCGUGCCAGCAGCCGCGGUAGUACGGAGGGUGCGAGCGUUAAUCGGAAUUACUGGGCGUAAAGCGCAUGCAGGUGGUUUGUUAAGUCAGAUGUGAAAGCCCGGGGCUCAACCUCGGAAUAGCAUUUGAAACUGGCAGACUAGAGUACUGUAGAGGGGGGUAGAAUUUCAGGUGUAGCGGUGAAAUGCGUAGAGAUCUGAAGGAAUACCGGUGGCGAAGGCGGCCCCCUGGACAGAUACUGACACUCAGAUGCGAAAGCGUGGGGAGCAAACAGGAUUAGAUACCCUGGUAGUCCACGCCGUAAACGAUGUCUACUUGGAGGUUGUGGCCUUGAGCCGUGGCUUUCGGAGCUAACGCGUUAAGUAGACCGCCUGGGGAGUACGGUCGCCAGAUUAAAACUCAAAUGAAUUGACGGGGGCCCGCACAAGCGGUGGAGCAUGUGGUUUAAUUCGAUGCAACGCGAAGAACCUUACCUACUCUUGACAUCCAGAGAACUUUCCAGAGAUGGAUUGG
rnacentral:rRNA from 1 species